CCUACGGGCGGCAGCAGUGGGGAAUAUUGGACAAUGGGCGAAAGCUUGAUCCAGCCAUGCCGCGUGUGUGAAGAAGGCCUUCGGGUUGUAAAGCACUUUCAGUGGGGAAGAAAGCCUUGGGGCUAAUACCCUCGAGGAAGGACAUCACCCACAGAAGAAGCACCGGCUAACUCCGUGCCAGCAGCCGCGGUAAUACGGAGGGUGCGAGCGUUAAUCGGAAUUACUGGGCGUAAAGCGCGCGUAGGCGGUCUGAUAAGCCGGUUGUGAAAGCCCCGGGCUCAACCUGGGAACGGCAUCCGGAACUGUCAGGCUAGAGUGCAGGAGAGGAAGGUAGAAUUCCCGGUGUAGCGGUGAAAUGCGUAGAGAUCGGGAGGAAUACCAGUGGCGAAGGCGGCCUUCUGGACUGACACUGCCGCUGAGGUGCGAAAGCGUGGGUAGCAAACAGGAUUAGAUACCCCAGUAGUC
rnacentral:rRNA from 1 species